rnacentral:rRNA from 1 species
AUGGUCUUGGCCUUGGUGAUGGACUUGGCCGUGGUGAUGGACAAGGGCAAGGUCGUUAUAGAGGAAUGUUUGGAUACCUCGAUGGACCAUUUCCGUAUGGAGGCUUCCCAACCCAACAAACCAACAAUGAAGGAGGAUGGCGAAGAUGAGAUGGCGGGAUGGUGGGAGAAGGCUGCGAAGAAGCUUAGAGAGGAGGGUGCAGCCAAGCUAAAGAAGAAGAAGGAAGAGGAGCUUGAGGAGAAGAGGAAAUCAAAAGAGAGAGCGUCAAAUGCGAUGCGCACUAGGGAGCAAGCAUUGGUGAGGAAAUGUGAGGAGGCACAGAAGAAGCGUCAAAAGGAUUUUGAAGAAGGAACCAUGAAGCUUUGGGCAAUUGCAGCUGGAAAAAAAAGAGAGGGAGGAUAA